CCCAGCGUGGCGCAGUCGGUAAGAGGCUCGCCCACGGCGCAGAUUGUCAGGGGUUCGACACCCCGAGCUGGCA